GCCCUAAUUGGAGCCCCGCCGUCCAGAUUUUCCGGCCGGCGCACCACUGGAAAACUCUUCCCCUCCUCACCUCUUUCUACCUAUGGUCACGGUUUAAACAUACAGUAACUCUUGGAGGAGAUCGGAGGAGAAAGCCAAGGUCGAGUUUAAGCUUUUCUGUUUGAAAAACUCGGUUUCCGGCCACCGAUUCUCCUGCGUGAGAGCUUCCAGUGCAAGACUCCAACGUUGAGGAAGCUACUGAGAAACCCAAGUAACGCUUUGGAGAACCGCUGGAGCAGCUGUUAUGAUUUGGGACGAAGUAGGAUCUUUAUCUCGUUUCGGAAGCUACAGGAAUGAUGAAGAGUUGUAGCUUUAGAUUCCUGGUUCCUUGAACAAUGAUUGAAGGUAAAUGUUUACUGUUUGGGUGUUUAUGAAUAGCUGAUUUCCAGUUUAAAUCCCAAACUGAUAUCUCUUCUUUUUCUGCGUUCUUGUUUUCUUCUGCAUUUACUUGGUGUUCUUCAUUUCGACUAUGGAGUAACUGAGCUGCUGAAUAAAAUAAGCAAUAGAGGUGAUGAACGCAAAACCUCAACUUCAUUUGGAAUGGUUCUUACUGUUCAUUAAAUUCAUGUAGUUUGGAAGAAGGUUGGAUAAUGAAGUUGUUCGGCUUUUUGGAAUUCAAGAAGCAUAAGGAACACCUAAAAGCUGCUGGUUGCAAUAUGUAAAGAAAUUGCUUGUGUACUGGGUAUUGGUUUCAAUUCGUAGUUGAACUGUGAAUUGGAAUAUUACUUUUGUGAAGUCCAUUUGGUGUAAUUAUGGUGAGCAAGGUGCACGUUGUUAGUCUUGUAAUGGGUUCCUUAUUUGUAUGUUUUACUGAAUAAUAAAGGAAUUGAAGGUGAUGAAGUAAA